rnacentral:rRNA from 1 species
GACGAACGCUGGCGGCGUGCUUAACACAUGCAAGUCGAACGGAAAGGCCCUGCUUUUUUGGGGUGCUCGAGUGGCGAACGGGUGAGUGACACGUGAGUAACCUGCCCUUGACUUUGGGAUAACUUCAGGAAACUGGGGCUAAUACCGGAUAGGAGCUCCUGCUGCAUGGUGGGGGUUGGAAAGUUUCGGCGGUUGGGGCUGGAGUCGCGGCUUAGCAGCUGGUUGGGGGGGUAGUGGCUUACCAAGGCUUUGACGGGUAGCCGGACUGAGAGGGUGACCGGCCACAUUGGGACUGAGAUACGGCCCAGAGUGCUACGGGAGGCAGCAGUGGGGGAUAGUGCACAAUGGGCGGAAGCCUGAUGCAGCAACGCCGCGUGCGGGAUGACGGCCUUCGGGUAGUAAACCGCUUGCGCCUGUGACGAAGCGUGAGUGACGGUAAUGGGUAAAGAAGCACCGGCUAACUACGUG